rnacentral:lncRNA from 1 species
AUGGAUGGAUUUCACAGAAAUAUCCACUUGGAUGUUAAGAGUUCGCUGCCUGCAGAUUGGCUUUGUCAAGCUUUCAAAUUAAUUUUGGGGGGAAGAUCACAAUCAACAUCCUGUGUUCUGGGUUCUGCUUCACCCCUCCUCACAGUUCCUGGGCUUCACCCCUCCUCACAGUUCUUGGGCUUCACUCCUCCUCACAGUUCCUGGGCAGACACCUGAAGAUAGAGCUCCAAACUCUUACCCUAAGUCACCCAAACAACUUCUUCAAGUGCAGAUUACUGUUCCACCAGGGAGCUACCACCUCUGAAUCUGUCAGUGGUGUCUUGGGAUACCAGCUGACCCAUGUAUACUGACUUUAGAGGGUCUCUGUCUUAGAUAUAGUUUCACUUUAACCCAGCCUGAAACCAUGAGUAGAGGGUCUUGUCCCACUAUGCUUAGAGGGAGGGUUUUAUAAUUACCGCCUGAAUUGUUCCAGAGAGCAGUAGAGGGAGGGAGAAAUUGGAAUCGGUGAUUCUGUGGUCUGUAAAAGGUUCCCGUUUAACGUUGAUUACAUUCUGUGUUUUAUUUAAAAUAGAACAUUUCACCUCCUCUAAAGCUUUUCAGGGUGACAGGCAGACAGAACAGUUAGAAUGUCAUUUUUUUUCCUUUACCUUGGCUCUUGUUUUCACAACUGAUUGACUUGUGACUGGAUCAAUUGACAAAUAAGGCAAUAUAAUAUAUAGUCUGCAAACCCCACUGGUGGAACUAUUUAAAUCAGAGCAGAUUGCUCUCUAAGUGCUGGGCUUCUGCAGAGGUCUCCCUGUUGGCUCCACAUUGAACUCAGUGUCUAGAGAGCCUCAACAAUUAAUCAUCUGUCAUCUAGAUCCGGGCAUAAAAGCAGAGCCGACCACCCCUUUCCCCACCCCCACCAUUCCUUUCUUUCGGUAUUGUUAUAUUUUGUUCUGUUCCAUACACUCACUGGGACGUGAACAUCCCAUUGAAAUGUGUCCAAGUAAGCAGAUUUUUAAAAAUUUAUUGUUUGGGGUCUGUAAGUAAUUUUAGUAAGCAUUAUAUAUAUAGAAGUAUGUAUAUAUAUGCCUAUGAAACUAGAUAUGUGUAUAUGUGUCUAUAUAUAUAUAUAUAUGCAAAUAUGUAAAAUCACUUUAGCUACCAGCUC